AGCAAUUUGUAAUAUAAUAACUAUAGAUAAUAAUCAUAUUGUUAUGCAUCUACAUAAAUUGGCGGAGCUUUGGACAUAUCAAUGUCCAUUCUUCAGAAAGAAUGAAUGAGAGAGGACAACAAGAUAAUUAUAGCGAAUCAUAACAUUCUAGAGGGAGUGAAUUAACAUCAAGAAAUAGUAUAAGAUCACAAUGUUAACAUUCAUGGAGAGUAAGCAUGAUGAGAAUAGAAUAAUAUUUUUUUUUUGAUAUGACAGUGAAUGAAAUCCAACUACUUAUUUAGAGAUAAGGCAGAACGAAGGAAGAGAUAACACAGACAAGUUAUUCUGAGAAAGUACUUAAAAGUGAUUGUUAAAAAUGAAAAGCAAGUAGAUUAUUUGAGUAACAAAUUAAGACUGGACUUUGCUUAUGUAGUAAUAUUAUUUUCUAUCAAAGGAAAAAUGGAAAGCUAUAGAUUAUAGCUAUAUUUGAGUAAUUAUGCAAGUAGGUAUUUAGAUAAGUGUAAGAGACAUGUAAAGACAACCUUGAGGUAUCCAAAAGAAGUUUACCCUACUUCCAAGUCAAAUGAAUUGAAAGUCGAAUCAUGAUUUAGAUUAUGUUGGUGAAAGCACAAGUGGCUAUAUACUAUAUUGUUGAGAGAAGCAGCGAUUAUUUGGUUCCUCUAUCAGGCAAGAAGCAUAAGCUACAACUAGAUGAGUAGAGUUUUUUUAAAGCCACAGAGACAUUCGGGGAACAGCAACUAGCAGAAUUUGAAAAAGAAAUACAAAUUUGAGAGAGAAACUUGAAGCAUUCACAUUAAGUGUAUUUUGAUCAUAGUGACUUGUGAUCAUAAUCCCUUACACUGUCAAAGGAGAUUUGUCUAUCAAGAGGAAUUUGUGUCAAAUGCUAUAACAAACAUAGAUUUUCUAUCAAUUGAGUUUCUGUCACAAGCAUGGAAAACCUUUUAUGGAAUACUGUAAUAACACCACAAUGCUGGGAAAUUAAGAUUACAAUAUUAGCACUCUGAUGUAAGUAAGAUACUCUUUGCUUGAGUAAACUUAACACUUUGCUUCAAGCAAUAGAAUAUUUUUGGUACAAAUUUUUUGUUGUCAGCAUCCAUUGUUAAACAAUAAAUAUGUCUAGGGAUUUGGUUAGUUAUGAGGAGACUUCUAUGUCUAGUUAGAUGUACAUUUUUCAACAUAAAUUAGAUUACAGUAAAUGAUCACCCUCCAGAUCAGUAUGAAUAGCUUUUUCAUCUCACUACUCUUAGCCCACACUGAAAGUUAGAGUGAAAAGUCGAGAGUGAAAAAACACAAUAGUAUAAUUUCAUUGGCUUUAGCUGUUGUACAAUAUUCUCACUCACAGUGUUAGAUAAUUUCUUCAUUUACUGUGCUUGGAGGAGAAGGAAAGUGUGAUAUUUCAUAGUUUGGAAACCACACUAACAAGAAAGACUUUGAGAAGCCAAACAUAGAUUUAUAAAAUUAGAAUCAAGCUGAGUGAAAAGAUUCAUGCAUGAGGAAAGAGAUACUGAUCGAUGUGAUAGUAUGAGUCAUUUCUCAAAUGAGUUAUUUAGAAAUAGUAUUGCUAACAGUUGUCACUAGUAGUUUACACCUAUGACAGUAGUAAACUCAUGAAAACAAAUGCAAAAGCAUAUAGUAUAGUUUCCCUACACUGUUUUGACAAACAAACAGAAACUUUAUUUUCUGUAACGAAUUUCUAAAAUUGAAUUUUAUAAUAUAGAUACUAUGCGAUUCAUCAGAUAUGUGACAAGGCUUGCUGCUGACACGGGUUAGAAUCAUUGUUGCAAAACAAAUCCUUCCAACGCCUACUGCAUUUUCCACGAGAUCAAUAGAUGAAUUUCAAUGAUCAUUCCAGUCCUAUCAUGGUUACAUUAAGUGUUAAAGCAUAAAAAAAACACACACACACACACACAUACAAUUUCUCUUUGGAUUAUAAGAAUCUGACUAAUAUAAUUUUCACAAAAUGCAAAGCUUUCAGUCUUUGAAGUUUGUAAUCCCUCCUCACACACACCAUGUGAUUGAUCCAAAAACUUGUCACAAGCACUGUUAUUGCGGUUUUGGUUAGCUCUAAGAUGAUAAUUUUUUCUCAGCUGAGCGUAUGCUUCUCUCUCUCUCUAUAACCUGAUGUGAUCUGCUGCGUUUGAAUUCAGUGUAUACUGUUACCAUCUUUGAUUCUGAAAGACAAUCGAUUAUGAGAACACCAGGAGUAAAUUUCUCUUCUUGUUUGUUUUGGCGAAAAUUGUUAUUCAUUCUACACUUGUCAUUUUCUCUCACUCUGACGAGUCUGUUAUUAUAUGAUUAUUAGAAUGAGCUAACAAAUAAUAUUAGUGGAAUGACAUUAUGGAAGAGGAGUAAUGAUCAAUGGAAAGAGAUGGGAGUCAACCUGUAGGAAAAUUUCAAUUCAAAAGGAAGAACCUGCGGAAUACCGAAUCUUGAAUGAUAUUGCAAAUAAAAUCCCACUCACCGAGCUUUUGCUUCUUCCUUUAUCAGAAAUAUUAGGAAAACUACACAUUUAUGUCGACUCAGUGCAUGUGCAAUCUGAGCAUAAAUUCAACCUUAAAUAUGCAAGUAUAUUAUCUGGAAGAUUACAGAAGUCUUGUCAUGUUUCAUACAAAUAGAGAGAAAACUUUUCUGUGUAGAUUGUAAAUUUUCUGGUGGGAGAGAGUGUGUCUGUGUUAUUUUUACUCACAGCAUAUGCUCCAAAAUCCACUCAACUUAAAAAAGAGAUCUAAUACUGAGUUGUUUUUCAUCAUGAUUUCAUGAUCUGAUAACAUGAGAAGCAAUCAGCAGAGUUAGAGUGGAGGAGUAGGAGGAGGAGGAGGAGGAAGAGGAGGGUGAGAAGGAGGACACAGCAAAUCAAAGGUACCAUUUACAAACAAAAUAUUGAAGAGAAUGUGCUCAAAGGAAAUGCAUAUGAAUUCAUUUUUGUUGACCAGGAUGGAAAAAUUCUUUGGAACCCAUAGAUAGAAUAAGUUAGUUAGGCCUAGUGGUGUACCAGCCAGAAGUAGAGGAUGACAAAGAAAAUCAGCUAUGAA
rnacentral:lncRNA from 1 species